CAUCUUCUCAUUUGGGCGGGGUAUGCCUAUAUAUCUCUUGUCCUUACGGACUAUGGCGAUAAACGCGCGUGUAAUAACUGGACCGGACCCGGGGGCGGUACCCGGCGGCUCCACCAUCUUCUCCUCUCUAUCGGUUUUGAUCCGGGGGGCGGUUGAUGGGGCCGAAAUAGGAUCGACGGACGGCCAAAGACGUUAGCUUUCGCCCGGGUGAGGCCCGUUACAGGCUCGUUCGCAAUAGUUGCCAAUGACAACUUUGCUCAUGAGACCGCUCUCGCUGCCUAAGCAGCGCGGGUAAUCUCGCUUUAACUCCUUGGCACAAUGAGCGCCAAGGCGGGGUUCGGAGGCACCUGGCAACAGAAGCCUCCACU
rnacentral:tmRNA from 1 species